rnacentral:lncRNA from 1 species
GAAGUUUGACAUAUUAAAAAACUAAAUUGAUGAGAAAGACAAAACAUGAUUACUUAUUUUACAACACAAAAUCCAAUUAGAGAUUCAUGACUCUUCGUACUACUUUUGCAACUUAAACCCAAGCAUUCAAACUCCCAUUCUUUUACAUGAUGAGAAAUCAGUGGUAAACCAACCCAAAUUAAAGCAGCACGAAGUUACUCAAUAUGACAUAUACAUUAUACUUACAAAAAAACAAGUACAGAGGGAGGUAUCAUUUUAAUACACAAAUGACCACUUUCAAUGCCUAUAAAAUUUUAAUUGAGCUAGGCCCUAACAAGUUCCUAAAUUCCAGACUAACAAUGUUGGUAGUUCACCUCCGAGCCAUAGAUCUGUUAGAACAAACUCCAUAUAUAAGAGAUCCAUUAUAAGUUAACAACGAAUCAAACCCUAACAAAUACAUACUGCUCAUUCAAACACGUGCCUUUUCAUGAUUGUUUCUUAUUGUCACUCGAAUUUUCAGUAUGAUUUUAGACAUUACUCACAUCAAAUACUUCAAGAUCAAACCUCAGCUUGUAAUCAGAAAUGAAAAGGCACUCAUUAUCACAUGUUAAUGAACAACAAACUGAGAUUUUCAUAGCAAUGGAUCACCCAAAUAACAAUUACAUCAUUUGAGACCAAAUGCACAUACCUUAACAGCAGUAGUAGCAAAGAAACCAGGAAAAACAGAAGAAGAACUUUCUGAAACUUUGAAGAAGAAACAAAUAGCAACAAACAGUCAACAGUCAAGUGAGCUUGGGUCCAAAAAUUGAAGGUUCAACCACAAUAACAAAACCACGACAAGAAAGGGCAACCAAUUAACUUAAAACAGCCAUGAAGGAAAUCAAAACUCUAUUCUUGAACCUCUGAAAAUCCCAACAAAGACUUCAAAAAUAGAAGGAAACUCAAAAUUUUCUUAAGAAUCCUUUUUGGAGAAAUGGUUUUUUUCAUCUAUUUGCUUUUUCUAUCCUUU